rfam:Oscillatoria acuminata PCC 6304, complete genome.
GUCCCAAUGACCCUAAAUCCCUUUCAGGGAUUGAAAC